rnacentral:rRNA from 1 species
GACGAACGCUGGCGGCGUGCCUAAUACAUGCAAGUCGAGCGGAUCUUUGGGAGCUUGCUCCCAAAGAUUAGCGGCGGACGGGUGAGUAACACGUGGGCAACCUGCCUAUGAGACUGGGAUAACUCCGGGAAACCGGGGCUAAUACCGGAUAAUUCUUUUCUACUCAUGUAGAAAAGCUGAAAGAUGGUUUCGGCUAUCACUCAUAGAUGGGCCCGCGGCGCAUUAGCUAGUUGGUGAGGUAACGGCUCACCAAGGCGACGAUGCGUAGCCGACCUGAGAGGGUGAUCGGCCACACUGGGACUGAGACACGGCCCAGACUCC